rnacentral:rRNA from 1 species
AGAGUUUGAUCAUGGCUCAGGACAAACGCUGGCGGCGUGCCUAACACAUGCAAGUCGCACGGAGGCUUAUGCGGUUUCGGCCGGAUGGGUCUGAGUGGCGGACGGGUGAGUAACACGUGGAUAACCUGCCCUGGUGUGGGGGAUAGCCUGCAGAAAUGCGGGAUAAUACCGCAGUGGGGGUACGAGAGGGGGAGCUCUCUGGUACCGCAAAGUUUUCAGAGGGGCAAGACUCUGGAGGCGCACGAGGAGGGGUCCGCGGCCGAUUAGCUAGUUGGGGGGGUAAGAGCCUCCCAAGGCGACGAUCGGUAGCUGGUCAGAGAGGAUGGUCAGCCACACUGGGAUUGAGAACGGCCCAGACUCCUACGGGGGGCAGCAGUGAGGGAUCUUCGGCAAUGGGGGCAACCCUGACCGAGCAACGCCGCGUGCGGGACGACGCCUUUCGGGGUGUAAACCGCUUUUCUGGGGGACGAGGGAGUACGGACGGUACCCCAGGAAGAAGUCUCGGCUAACUACGUGCCAGCCGCCGCGGUAAUUC